UUUUAUUGAAGCUUCGGCAGAUUUAACUGGUUUCUAGUGGCGGACGGGUGAGUAACGCGUGGGUAACCUGCCUUGUACAGGGGGAUAACAGUCAGAAAUGACUGCUAAUACCGCAUAAGCGCACAGGACCGCAUGGUCCGGUGUGAAAAACUCCGGUGGUAUAAGAUGGACCCGCGUUGGAUUAGCUAGUUGGCAGGGUAACGGCCUACCAAGGCGACGAUCCAUAGCCGGCCUGAGAGGGUGAACGGCCACAUUGGGACUGAGACACGGCCCAGACUCCUACGGGAGGCAGCAGUGGGGAAUAUUGCACAAUGGGGGAAACCCUGAUGCAGCGACGCCGCGUGAAGGAAGAAGUAUCUCGGUAUGUAAACUUCUAUCAGCAGGGAAGAAAAUGACGGUACCUGACUAAGAAGCCCCGGCUAACUACGUGCCAGCAGCCGCGGUAAUACGUAGGGGGCAAGCGUUAUCCGGAUUUACUGGGUGUAAAGGGAGCGUAGACGGAUGGACAAGUCUGAUGUGAAAGGCUGGGGCUCAACCCCGGGACUGCAUUGGAAACUGCCCGUCUUGAGUGCCGGAGAGGUAAGCGGAAUUCCUAGUGUAGCGGUGAAAUGCGUAGAUAUUAGGAGGAACACCAGUGGCGAAGGCGGCUUACUGGACGGUAACUGACGU
rnacentral:rRNA from 1 species